GAUUAAAUGGAAUAAAAACUGAAAAUAUUUUUGGAAUGACUUUCCACUCAUUCACGAAGGAUUAUGAUUUUGAAUAAAAAGAACAACAUUUACAAAGGAUUUAUUUUUUUGUUCCAUUCCAAAAUUGGAAUAUAUGGAAUUGUUUCUAAAAAGUUUUCAUGGUAACUGGUAAACAUUUUAUGGAAACAUGUGCAAUGACCCAUUCCAAAGAGUUUUAUUCUACAAAAUAGCAUUCUAGUUGCAUCCUAUAUAUGUCUACUGAUGGUGAAAGCAAUACAAUUCUAUCACUUACCCUUUUAAGUGUCACGUUAGUUCUUUAUCUCCAUCAUUAUAUGGAAUUCAACUCUAUCUUUUUUCCAUAGAUUCUGAUCGGAUACAAAAAUACUUGCAAGACAUUAAUAGAAGGGAUCUCUUAAUAGAAUAGCUACAAAUACUUUCAAAUCAACUUUAUCACAUCUAUAUAUAUAAAAAAAUUGUUGGUCUCUUUCCAGGGCAAGACACGUCAUCAAAUCGUUUCUUCAGAGUGCGACACGUGGCAAAAAAUCGAUCCGUUGCGUUUCAUUAAACGUAUGUAAUCGUGUGGGGCUUAUGUUAUAUAUGGGCUUUGUGUUAACUUAUUAUAGUACAGCCCGUUUAUUUAUCUCCACCUAAAUGAAACGACGUGUUUUCAUUUAGGGUUGGCCCCAUCUUCUUCUUCGCCUGUCCAGAGCUCACGAGGAUUUGGUUUUUGCAAGCGAUCUUUCAUCUUCUUCCUCAUAGUGCAAAAGGAUAACAGUUACCGAAUCUAUUAAAACCCUCCAUUAAUCUAUCACCCACGAUCUGUAUUCAAUCCGAGUUCUUAUUUUGCAAGGCGGUGAAUGUUCAGCUAUAAAAAGACAGGCCUCUCCUGAUUUAUGAAAAGGAUGUCCUCCUCAUCUUCCCUUUUCUUUCUUCCCACCACCACUUCAAACAUUCAGAUUCAUCCAUAGCGCUUCACCAUACUUGCAGAGUUCGUCGAAGAAUUGUUUAUGGAGAUAUGAAAACAGAGUACAUGCUUUUGAUUUUGGAGUGGCUAGAGUUGAAUCUCAUAAUCCAAAGGAUAGAUCUACCAAAGGAUAUGACUAGAGAAACUGGUACUCUUGGAUACACAGGCUACGGAG